UUUCUAUCUAUUGGAGUCUGAUAUCUCAAAGCUGAUCAAGUUCCUGGUGGGUCUUCCUGUCUCAAGCCAGCAGUGGGAGGAGCAGUCAGGAGAGAAGACACUGAAGCUGGUAUCAUCAGUGUGUACUUACACAACCUUCUAUUUCUGUGAUGAGGAUGAUUUUAAUGAGUCGCUUCAAUGUGAUUUCUGCUGGAUCUGUAUUCACAUGUGAAGGACUAUGAGACUCAAACAGGCAGGAGUAUCCUUCCAGCAUUACAGCCAGUUUACCAGUCAGCUCCUGCAGUCUGGUCCAUAGGACCUUCUCAGAGAGAAAGGUCUCCCUCCUCCUAGAAGUGCUGAAACUCCAACCAGAGAAGAAACCAGUAGAGCUGAAAGGCUGGUCAGAUGAAGAGAGUGAAGUGAGGAGUUUCCUUCAGUGUCUGCCCUACAUCUCACAGCUSAGCUGUGAUUCUGACAGGUUCUUCCAGRGUGUGUGUGAAUCCAUCCCUGUGAGGUCCAGAGAGGAUGCCCAGCAGUUGGCCUCUCUCCUCCAGGCCUUGGGCUCCACCCUGUCACUGGGAGGACAGUUACCCAGGAAAACCUGCAGGUCUGUGGUGAGAGUGCUUGGCCUCUGUGCCUCCAGAGUGGACCUCACUCUCACCCCCAGCAAGAUCUCUCUGAAAGGAGCCUCGCUUCUCUUCACACAUGUGUCACAGCUACACAAGCUCAGGCUGAAUGUGGGCAUGGCAGUGAGACUGGCCAGACUGGCUAGGAGGACAGGGAGAGGGGGUUCUCCACUGACGGUCCCAGAGCUCUCCCUGGUCCUAAAGAGCAGCCAGCCACCAGAGAGAGUGUUAUCCAGGGCUCUGAGUAGUGUGGCGUCCCUGCUGAGACUCUGGACGGUGCAGUGUCUGGACCUGACUGACUUCUGCAUCCAGGGUCACUCUGUCAUCACACUGCUGUGUCACCAAGGCCCUCUCACUCUCAGACUGCACUCAGACARRCUGCAGCAGCUGGCUGUGGUUGUGUAUGAAGCUCAGGACAAGGACUUGACUCGGUGGUUCCUGGAGAAGGUUGGUGGAGACCUGACCACCUGUAGGCUGGACUGGGAGGUGCUUCUCUCUCUGCUGCAGCAUUCAACCCACAACAUCACAGUGGACCUCAGGAAGAACAGGUUUCUAGAGAAGAACAUCUCAGAUCUUCUCCCCUUUCUGGGAAGGGUUAUAUUCAAGAGGCUCAGUUCCAGCUUUGUGAAGUCCACCAUCAGACAGAUCUAUGACAGUAGAGCCAGUGACUGUGUGUCCAGUUUGUUGAGGUCUUCAGACCAUUGGAUCAACCUGAAUAGCAGAGAGCUGGACAGAGUGGACUGUACUGCGCUGUGUUUCACCCUGCAGCACAGCCACCAAGUCAAAGUCAAUCUCCUGUGGACCUCCAUACCACCGGGGGAGAUAGAGAGCAUCCUGCCUCUUCUGGACAGAGUCUCCCAACUCAGGAUGCUGUUGCUGAGUUUCCUGCGCUGCCUCUCAGAUCCUGCAGGGGGCACUAUCACCACCUUCAGCAAUAACGCAGCAGCAGAGCUGCUCAGGCGGCUCUGCAGCACAGGUUGGACUUCCUCCUCCUGCUCCCUUUGUGGACCUGUCAGCUCACGACCAGGGGAGGCGCUGUGUCUGACCACUGUAGGGCCAUAA
rnacentral:lncRNA from 1 species